rnacentral:rRNA from 1 species
CCUACGGGUGACAGCAGUGGGGAAUAUUGCACAAUGGGGGAAACUCUGAUGCAGCGACGCCGCGUGAGUGAAGAAGUACUUCGUUAUGUAAAGCUCUAUCAGCAGGGAAGAAAAUGACGGUACUUGAGUAAGAAGCCCCGGCUAACUACGUGCCAGCAGCCGCGGCAAUACGGCGGGGGCAAGCGUUAUCCGGAUUAACUGGGUGUAAAGGGAGCGUAGACGGCAGUGCAAGUCUGGAGUGAAAGGCGGGGGCUCAACCCCCGGACUGCUCUCGAAACUGUACGGCUGGAGUGCAGGAGAGGUAAGUGGAAUUCCUAGUGUAGCGGUGAAAUGCGUAGAUAUUAGGAGGAACACCAGUGGCGAAGGCGACUUGCUGGACUGUAACUGACGUUGAGGCUCGAAAGCGUGGGGAGCAAACAGGAUUAGAUACCCUUGUAGUC